rnacentral:rRNA from 1 species
GAACCUUACCAGCUCUUGACAUGCCCGGUAUGGGCGGGAGAGAUCCCGUCCUUCGGUUCGGCCGGCCGGGACACAGGUGCUGCAUGGCUGCCGUCAGCUCGUGUCGUGAGAUGUUGGGUUAAGUCCCGCAACGAGCGCAACCCCCAUCUGCAGUUGCCAGCGGGCAAGCCGGGCACUCUGCAGAAACUGCCGGUGACAAGCCGGAGGAAGGCGGGGAUGACGUCAAGUCCUCAUGGCCCUUAUGGGCUGGGCUACACACGUGCUACAAUGGCGGUGACAGAGGGCGGCAAGCGGGCGACCGUGCGCCAAUCUCCAAAAAGCCGUCUCAGUUCGGAUUGCUCUCUGCAACUCGAGAGCAUGAAGUCGGAAUCGCUAGUAAUCGCGGAUCAGCAUGCCGCGGUGAAUACGUUCCCGGGCCUUGUCACACCGA